rnacentral:lncRNA from 1 species
UUGACUGUUAGGACGUUGAGAGAAAGAACUUUAUGUUUUGAAGUAACUGAAAGAUGGAUUGAAUGGAAUGAGGGGAUAAAUUGUUAGAUUGUAUUGGGAUGUUUACCUUGUAGGUGUCCCACGGGAUCACCAAUUUAUUUUGCACCUUCGGGAGCAUUUGACUGAUAUGUGUUUCUGCAGAACACUAGACUGAUAUGUACGUCCCUCGGGGCGUUAGACUGAUAUGUACGUCCCUCGGGGCGUUAGACUGAGAUGUGUAUCCUACGGGAUCACAAGACUGCGACUGUACAGGGUGUCCCAAUAGAACUUUAACAAUUUAUUUUCCCCUGACGAGACCAGUAGAGGGUCUCUUACUGAGUAUUAUUAUACUCACCCUUCUUAUGUUUAAUUUUCAGGCAAAGGAAAUAAAGGUGGCAAACCGGCGAGGGGCAGCAAGGAAGCGUGAUUGCCAUAGGGAAUGUGUUAUUUUGCUUCCGCUUAUGAUUUCUUUUAAGGUUUAAGAUGUACUAAAACUUAGUUUACAAACUUUUAUUUGUAAAUAGGGUUAUUGUUAAGUUUUCUUGAAUAUUUGAAAAUCAGGCCUUACAUAAAUUGUUUUUAAAUUGACUUAUGUUUCAAUUUGUAUCAACCAAAGUCUUUUGUCAAAAAUUAACGAUCUCGACUUACCCAGAAAAGUUGGGUCGUUACAACUAAUAUGUAAUGUUGAGAUCAACUGAAUAUGUUUGUAAUGUAGGGACUUUGAUGAAAGAAUUGAAUAUUCAGGAAAUUGUAUGAAAAAAAAUGGUUGAAUGUUAAAUUGACUUAUGAAUAGUGUAUAUGAAACAAUACAUUAUAUAUUUUAUGAAUGAAAUGUUAUGCAAUCAAUUUGUUAAACUGGUUUAUUUAUUUUAUUUCAAAUAUUUAUUUUAUAUGUAAUAAAUAAUAAGUUAUGUUUGAAACAACAGUAUAAGGAUAUAUCAUAAUAUAUAUUGUUCAUUUAAGGUUAGUAAAAAUUUAUAUUUUGUAUUUGAAAUAUACUAUGAUAUACUGAGUACAUCAAAGAUGACAUCAUUUAUGUACUAUUGAAAAUAUGAAGUAGUAUAUAUAUGUAACAAAUCACAUAAGAUAUAUGUAUCAUGUACUAGUAUAUACGUCAUUAUUUAUAUAUACACACCUAAUGAAAAAAAGUAGAGUGUGUGGGACCCACGUAUAUAAAUAAUGAGAAAAUAAAAAAUGUUGGCCCAAUGUAAUAUAUAUAUAAAGUAAAAAAUAAACUAUGUAGGGUCCACUGCAUGAAAAUUGUGUAGGGGUACAAAAAUUCACCUCAACUCACCUAUUUUUGUCAAUAGUUUUGCAUUCACCUACUUUUGACAUAUGUUUCAAAAUUUACAUUAUUUUUUAAAAAAAGUUCUAUACAUAAUAAAUAAUAACUCGUGAUUGAAACAAGAGUGGUUAUGUGUAAUGCCCCAAAGGUAUAUAUAUAUAUAUAUAUAUAUUUUGUUUUUUAUUUUUAUAUAUAUAUUUAUUUAUUUAUAUUUAAUUUAAAUAAAAAGGAAAAAGAAAAAAUAAAGAAAGAAAGGAGAAAAAAAAAGAAAAAAUCUCUCUUUCUCUCUCCCUCGCGCGCCGCGACCCCCCCCCCGUUCUCUUCUCUUUUCCUUUCUCUUUUCUCUUCUCCCUUCCGUUUUCUUCCCGUCACAGCCCAGCCGCAACCGCCGCCGAUCCUUUCUCUUCCGUUCUCUUCCCGCCGCAGCUCAGCCGCCCCAUCCGUUUCCUUCUCUCCGUUCGUCGCGUGAACAUGUAACCGCCGGCUGUCUUCCCCUCUCCUUUCUCCUCUGUUCUCUGCCCAGCACCGCGUGACCCUCCGCCCAGCGCCGUGUGACCCUCUGCCCACCGCCCCGCGCGACCUCUGUCUCCGCGCGUUACCGUUACUACGACCAGAUCUGCGUCGUCGUGCCCCGUCCUAAAUCGUCUUUGUCUCCGUCGAAGUUUUGUUGGUAAGAUUAAAGUUAUGAAAUUGUAGUCGUUUCCAAAACAAUUUAAGUAUGGGUUAUGAUGUUUUCAAGGUGUUCAAACGUUACGGAUGGGUUAAUUGACUAAUUUGAUAAAUUAUUCUUGAAGGUGUGAAAGGUAACUUUGGGUCACUUAAAUUCACAACCAAUUUGUGAAUUGUUAAGGGUUCAGUUCGCCAGUAUUUCGGUAAGUUGGGGAAUUUACAUAUGGAGUAAUUUGAAAGGUUGAAACUAUUUAGAACGAUGUUUGAUUUUAUGAAUUGAAUUAUGUUUAGGAUUUGAUUCAUUGGAUUUAGUAGAUUGAAGAAUUUGCAUAGAAAUCGAGGUAAGGGAUUUUCUACUGGACUCAAUUGUGAUUGUGAACUGUGAUUGUGAACUGUAUGUGUGUUGAAUGUAUACUGGGGUUGACUGAAAAUAUAUAUGAAUGUAUAUAAAUUGAAGUAGACUUGACGUCGAAUGUAUGUCGUGAUUGUCAUGGAAUCUAUAUAUAAAUGUGUGUAUGUGGACAGGACGGAGAUUGUAGAUUGUGUUUGUAUGAGAUUCUCGUUUAGAUUGGGUGUAUGAUUACGCUAAAGUAUGACUGUGUGCUGGUGAACUGAGGGGUGCAUUGACUGUAUAGUGGAUUGACUGAUGUAUUAGCAUAUUAUUGACAGACAUAUGACUGUAGUAAAAUAAGUUAACUGUUAGGAUGUUGAAAGAAAGAACUUUGUGACUUGAAGUAACUGAAAGAUGGGUUGAAUGGAAUGAGGGGAUAAAUUGUUAGAUUGUAUUGGGAUGUUUACCUUGUAGGUGUCCCACGGGAUCACCAAUUUAUUGUGCACCUUCGGGAGCAUUUGACUGAUAUGUGUUUCUGCAGAACACUAGACUGAUAUGUACGUCCCUCGGGGCGUUAGACUGAGAUGUGUAUUCUACGGGAUCACAAGACUGCGACUGUACAUG